CCAUUUGGAGCUGGUAGAAGAAUUUGUCCUGGGAUUUUUAUGGGUCUGGCAACAGUGGAGGUAUCUCUAGCUAAUCUGCUUUACAAAUUUGAUUGGGAGAUGCCUGUUGGAAUGAAGAAGGAAGACUUGGACAUGGUUGUGCAACCUGGUAUUACUAUGCACAAGAAAAAUGCUCUUUGUCUUAUGGCCAGGAAGUAUCUCUGAUGAAAGGGCACAAUAUAUUUAUAUGAGAAUCCUUGUAUGUAUAUAAGAAGAGGUUGUACUUCUCUUCUAUUAAAUAAUGUCUUGUGCUUGAUUUUAGUUCUUGCUGAUUUUUUUUUUGUCAGAAACUGAGGUUUUAAUUUAAUGUUAUGAUACCAUAGUAGACAUAAUAUUCAAAUAAGGUUCAGUUUUCCUCAUCAACCUGGUGGGCAACUUUAUUAUUAUUAUUUUUAAUAAGCAGGUAAAAUUUUAUUAUUUUCAAUAAGAAAAAAUUAGAAUAACCACACAGGCUACCCAAAUAAAGGAACCCAUCACCCAUCCUACAACAUGAUGGCAUCCUAAACAAGACAUAGAGAGUACAAAUCAAAGAAGAAAAACUAGACUCCAAUAAGCAAAUAAAACCACACGCAGUUUGUCAUACCGGCCCAUAAAAAAAAAAGUUAAAAAAAUAAUAAAAUUAAAAAAAAUAUACAUGGAGCUCUGGUUUCCGCAAGUCCCGAAACCAAAGCCCUUCCUCUUCCCUUAAAACAGAGCUUUGCUAAGCUCUUUAAAAGAAAAAAAAAAUUUUUUUAAUCCCAAAUAUUUUCAUCUUCAACCCAUCAUUCUAUAAACUUUCAAAAUUAUCAACUAUAUUAUUAUUUAAAUUAAUUUUUUGACAAAAAAUUCAAUAAUUUCUUUUAGAAACUCCAAUAUUUAAAUAGGUUAAUUUAUUUCUUUUAUUUAGAUUAUUACAAUUUAAUUUAUUUUUUCUACUCUUAAAUAGUACUUUUUAUGAUUUAAAAUUUAAAAAAAAUAAAUUUUAAUUAGAUUAAUUGAUGAGAUUUUAUUUUUAAAAUUAAUAAUUUUUAUAAAUUGAUCUAAAUAAUAUUCAUAAUUUAUUGGGUGUUUUGAAAUUAUGUAAUUUUAUGAGUUGUAAUUAUAUAAGAAUACUACUGAAUUUUUUUUAUAAAAAGAAAAAAAAAAUAUAUAUAUAUAAUAUUUGAAAUUUAUAUUUCACAUUUUAUAUUUUUAUUUUAGAAUAUUUAUUUAUCAUUUGAUACAUUACUUUUAAUUCUAAAUUUUAGAAGGGAAUCCAACUUUUUAUUUUGGCAUCUAAGCUUAUUUUAUAAAUAUAAAAAUUUUCUUAAAUAUAUUGUAUAUAUAUAUUAUUUUAUUUAUUUAAAAUAGAAAUAGAUAAAAUGAAUACAUAUUUCUUAAAUUAAUGAAAAUUAAAUUUAAAAUACAGUUAAAUAAAUAGUCGAUCACAUUAUCAUUAUAAAGUCUAAAAUACUAGCAUUGCUCUCAGAUUAUUAUUAUUUUAUUUUAUCACAUAUGAAAUGUUAGCAUUAUUCACAAGAAGCAUGCUAAGGGUAUAUUCGGAUUUAAUUUAUCACAUUUAUAAUUUUAGAUUCAUUAUUCUAGUAUUGAUAUUUUAGUAAUUUUUAUUCAACUUAAUAUAUAUUAAUCAAAUUAAAUUGUAUUUAUUGAGCUGAUAUAUUUUAGUUUAAUAUUUGAUUAAGUACCAAAACUUUAUCUUUUCUCCUUUAUUAUUUAUUUAUCCAAGUUUAUUGAGUAAGUUGUAAUCACCCCUUAUAUUUUUAAUAUUACAGAUUUUUUUAUGAUUUAACUUUAUCUUUUUUCUUUUAUUAUUUAUUUAUUUGAUCACUGAAUAAAUUAUACUCACCACUUAUACUUUUAAUAUUAUAUAUUUUUUUGGUGAUUCACUCCUAACAGUUUACACCUUAUAAUAUUGUUUUUUUUUCCACUUCAUUAAUUUCAGAAUUUAGUAGAGACCGGAUCAAUUCUAAAUCUUUUGUAACUUUUUAUAAUUUUAGAGAAUAAUAUAUAAAUUGUAUGCUCAAACAGCUGAAUAUAUUUUGUUUGGUAUAUAUAUAUAUAUAAUUUUUUUUAUUCUCAUAGAGAGAAUAAUGAUAUAAAGAUAUUAUGAAUUAACUAGAUCAGUCACAAGUUCUUCUUUUUCAUGUUUUUAUAUUUUAAAAUUAUAGCAGGUUAUACAUAUUUAUUACAUGUAUAUUUAGAGAAGUUAGUUUUUUAUCAUAUCCGUCUUUAUAUAUUAAAGAGUGGGUGUAACACAUAUAAAAUCGGUUGACGGGAAAAAACUAAGCUAACCAAUCUAAUCAAUUAGAACAAAAAAAUACAUCCGAUUUAUCAAAAGCACAAGAGACCAAUGAACCGGUCAACCAAAUUCUUAACAAAAAAUGCAGUAUAUAAAUACCAAGUGAGACCUAAAAUAAGAAGACAAAAACAAACAUAAAUAUCCAAAUCACAGCUGCAGACUAAUAAAAGGAGCAUCAAGAAACUAAAACCAAGCUGCGAAAUCUGCAUUUCUAUAUAGACCUUAUUUUGCAAGAGAAUCUGCUAACCAAAUUGCCUCUCUGAGAGUGUGCUUGGACUGAACUUUUGGAUCAUUUUAAGGCAAUCAGCAAAAGAAAAAGAGAAAGAAGUGAGUCUCCAAGCAGCAGAGAAAAGGGAUGCAAUCCAAGAAAAGGCAAUUAGCAAAAGUCAUUUGUCUUAAUAAACAGUUAAUUUCCUUUUUGGCUGAAAAGCUUGUACCUUAUUAAUGAUUUUCCUGAAUAUUCUGAAUACCAAAAAAUAUAAUUUUUUAAAAAAAAUAUAUAUAUAUUUUAAAAAAAUUAUAGCCUUUAUUUCUUUACCAACGCUUAUACCCUAUUUGGAAAGAGGUUUUUUAAGUUAAUGAAAGAUUUUUUAAAUUUUAAAAAUUUUAAACUUGUUUUAGGAGGGAGGGAGUGAUGAUUUUUUAAAUAGGUUUUUAAAAGUUUUUAAAAAAUUUUCUAAAAACCUUUAAUUUUAACCCAUUAAAUGGGUGGGUUAAGAAAAUUUUAUCUUCAAAACUUUUAAAUAUUUUUAAAAAAUUUAUUUUUUUAAACAAUAAAAAAUUAUUAAUAUUUAAAAACUAUGAAAAAACCUUAUCUUAAAAUAUUUUACCUCCUUCCAAACAAAGUAUUAAUAAAUUGCAAGACCUGUAUAUAGAGCUAAGCAUGAACUACGUAAAAGUCAUUCCAAACCCUAAAUCCAAAACACACAAUAAACCCAAUUAAAAUCAAAACACUAAUUUGAAUUGAAAAAAAUCAAGCUAAAGAAGUAAAAAUAAAUCGAACUAAACUCAAAAAAUGAAUGGAUAACAUACACCGACUCUACGGCAAUAAUACAAUCACACCACACGCCAUCAUAAAUGCAGGGAGCAUGGCAGCAAAGCACCAUCAACCACAAAACAGAGCCAACAUAAAGGCAACCACAAUAAAUACAAACAAAAACAAAAUGAAAAAUAAAAGGCUAACUUGCAAGACCAAAACAGCCCUUAGAACAACCCAAAACUCCAAUUAAACAAACCAGAGAGUUGCUAUAGAGCUUAUCUAAAGAAUAGCCUACCAGAGUAGUAUCAUCAGAUAUAUCAAUGUGGUUUCAAAUUUUCACAUCAAAUACUAAAGAACUUCUUCGGAAUUAGCAAUAGAGACCUAAACAUCAAGACCACAUAGUGCAAACUGAAUAACAAAAAGAAAUAUUUAAUCCAUGAUGAGAGAGUAAAGAGGACUACAGACUCAAAAAAGAAAAGGAAAACACAACAAAACAAAAGACAAAAUGAAAUCAACCUUCCCUUCCCUAAGCAAGUAUGGCAUCUUUAAGGAACAAAGCAAGUAAAUUUCUUUAUAAAAAAAUAAAUAAAUAGGACCCACUUUGAUAUAUUUUGGCUCCAUAAUAAAUUGAGUCCACCUAAAAAUUUCUCUUUUUUUAAGUUUUUGUUUCUUCCAUCGAGUUAUAAAAAUUAUUUUCUAGCCAUUAAAAGUUUCAUUCAAUUGAUUUUUUUUAUAAAUGUAAUUUUGAAAGAGUAAGAGAAUAAUAUGCAUAAUAGACACACAAAUUUAUUUGAAUUUAAUACGAAAAUGAAAGACACAUAAUAGACGAGUAUUUGAAUUUGUUUCUCUAGAUCUCUCUACUAUUUCAUAUGAAAUUUUUUUUAAUUGUAUUGAAAUUUUAGCAGUAUAUUAUUUUUACUGCUCCUUAAUUGUGUCACUCUCAUCAUCAACAUGGGCAAAAAGUCGGAUUACUUUCUCUUUUUAAAAUUUUAAAAUUUAAUAUUAAUGUAACAGGGAAGGAUUAAUUCUCCUUUCUUAAUAUUGUUGUAGUAGUUAGGAAUGAUAAUAGUGCUUUUUAGAUAAGAUGGCUAAACGUGUUAGAUAUUACUCUUCUACGAUGAUAGAAACUCAUACUAUAUUUAGCUUUAGUAAGAAGUUCACAAUCGUUUAUUUAUUAUAUAAAUAUAAAAAUUCUCUUCAUAUCACUACCUGAACUUGAUUUUUUAUCUUAUUCGAAGUAAUUAUUAUUGUUGCUAUUAAAAUUUUGUGAUUUUAAUUGUCUAACCUUUCUUUUAAACUUAUAUAUGGGCAAGGUAAUAAAAUUAUUGAUCUAGUGGCUAAAUUUUAUUUGAAAAAUGCUUUCCCUCGUAAUUGCAUUACAACUAAUCCUUCGACCUUAGACUCAGUUUUGUAAUCUUUGUUGUGUUUUUAGCAGUGAUGCACUAAAUUAUUAUAAAGAUUAAAAAAAAAUUCAAUUCUGACAGGUCCCGCGACCAGAUUUGAUUUAUUAUUUAUAGUGAUGUCGGAUGACAUACUUCAAGGGAACAGAUUACAUUGAAUUUAUCACUUCCUAUCUCUAUCCCUUGUUUCACUCAAGUGAAAGCAUUUUGGAAAACCAUGGCGAUUUUUCGUUCAUUGGCGAUUUUUGAUGACAUAUUCCAAGGAACAGACAAUUACGUUGAGCUUAUCACUUCUAGUCGGUUCCUUUGUCUCAUUCUUCUUUGAAUAAUAUACGGCAUAAUCCCCGUAAUCUAACGCAUAUAAUUUAAUCAAGUAAUUUGAUCUUUGAAUUUUCAUUUGUGAAUAAAUUAGUUUUUUUUGUUAAAUUUACAGUUAAUAUCAGCUAUAAAUUUGAUAACUUAACUCAAAUCGAAGAAAGUAUAUGUUUUUUUUUUAAAUAGAGAUCGAGAGAGUAUAAUUGAUAUCUCUUAAAUUUAUUCGGAUGCAUUUACUAUCAGAUUAAAUUUGUGAGUACUAAAAAAUAUAUGUUAUAAAUAUUAAAGUUAUAGAAAUUAAAUUAUUAUAAAAAAUAAAUUUAAAUAAUUAAAUUAUGAUAGUUUAAUUAAUGACUAUUUUAUUAAUUAAAUAAUAUUUAAUAGAUAAAUAGAUUUUUAUUAAAAAAAUAAAAAUCGUAAAGGAUUUCUAGCGUGAUAUGAAUUAUAUAAAUUAUCAAAUUUAACUCAUUAUGAAGUAAACUAUUUAUCAAAUAAUAUUUUAAUUAUGUUUAUUUAUAAUAUAAAAAUAUAUACAUUAAUUAUAAAAUAAAAUUAAAAUUUGAAGUAACGAAUAAAAAAGAAAUUAAAAUUGAUUUAUUAUAUAUUCAAGCAGUAAAAUUUAGAUUUUAUCAUACAAUUAAUUAAGUGUAGCAGAUUAAUAGUAUAAAUCAAAUUAAUAUGAUUUUUAAAAUAAUUUUUAUUUAAACCGUAUUCAUGAAAAUACAUAAUAUAAAUAUAUAAAAUUUUACAUGUGCACCGAUAAAUCUUAUUAGAUAUAUUUCUUAGCCAUCAAUCGGAGAUGCUCCCUCUUGUGCACAGUAAUUCCUGGCAGAACAUUAUCGGUGUCUAUGUCCUCCCUUUUCAUCCCAUCAGGCAUUUCCCACUCAAAUUUGUAAAGAAGAUUAGCGAGUGAAAGCUCCACAUUGGCAAUUCCCAUAAAUAUUCCAGGACAAAUUCUCCUGCCAGCUCCAAAUGGUAUUAACUCAUAAUCCUGUCCUUUCAUGUCAAUACAAGUAUCCAAAAAUCUCUCUGGACGGAACUCCAAUGGCUUCUCCCAAGCUUCAGGAUCCCUCCCAAUUGCCCAUGCAUUCACGUGAACUAGUGUUUUUUCAGCUAUUUCAUACUCACCUAAAGUGCACUUGUGAACUGUUUCUCUUGGGACUAGAAAUGGAACUGUUGGUUGCAGUCUCAUCAUCUCUUUCACCACAGCUUUAAGAUAAAGCAAUUGUUGAAUAUCGUCUUCAUCUACAAAACCCUUUUUCCCAAUUAAGCUUCUUAUUUCAUCUUGAACUUUUUUCAUUGUUUUAGGAUUUUUCAUUAGAAAACUCAUAGCCCAUAUCACAGCAGCAGCACUUGUGUCUGUUCCUGCAACAAAUAAGUUCUACGUAGACAUGAAAAUGAAAAUAUAAGUUUUGGAACGAAGCUCAAAACUUAGAGAAAUACAAUUUGUGCCCAUGCUAAUUACUAAAAAAUAAUAAAAAAAUAUUAUCCAGCAAUUGUAUUAUUGCAUAUCUAUAAAGGGUGAGGUCAGCAAUAAUAAAAACAAUAACAAAUGAAAUAUUGAGAUUAGCUAGCAUUACCAUGAGAAUUGCUUUGAUGUGCUCAAAAGUUAGUUGAACUUUAAAUGAACGAUCCCUCCAAAGUUGAAGUAAAACAUCAAGAAUGUCCUCAUGCUGUGGCUUUUGCCUCUUUGGAUCGAGGUGUUCAUCGAUGAGUUCUUGGUAGAAAGCAUCAAAGUCAUGGAAAUUCUUUUCGAGUCUGGAGAGAAGUCCAGAGAAUUUAUCAACAAUCCGACCGAUGUAAGGAAAAUAAUCUGAAAAGAAGAAUCCCACAAACAUGGCCUGAGUUUCAUUAAGCAACUCAUGAAGCCUCUUGGCUUCAUUUCCCCCUUCCUCAAAUCUCUUUCCAAAAGCAACUCUGCAUAUUGCAGCACUCGCAAGAGCCAUCAUUGCUUCAGUCAAGUUGACAGGUUUAGAAGCAUCAGCUACUUUCGAUAUAUUUUCAAGCAUACGAGAAACUUCAUCUUCUCUAAUGGGACGAAACUCCUGGACUCGAUUUGAGUUGAAAAGAUAGACGACACAGAUUUUUCUCAUCUCUCUCCAAUAAGCAUCAUAGGGUGCAAAAGCCAAAUCUAAACCAUUGUAGGAUAAUCUCUGUAGACCAAGCAAGGGAGGCCUGCUACAGAAUUCAAGAUCUUGGGUUUUCAAAACCUCUUUAGCCAUUUUGGCUGAAGAGACUAUUAGAGUUUGCUUGAAACCUAGUCUUAAGGACAUGAGAGGUCCAUACUGUUUGGAAAGCUGCCAUAAAUGUUUUUGAAUGUUGGAGUUGUCAAGCUGGAAAAGGUUUCCUACCAAGGGAAGACCCUUGGGACCAGGAGGGAGACGAGGUUUUCUUAUGUGUAUCUUGAGAAGAAACAAGAGGAAGAUAGGGAGGAGGAGAAGGAAAAUAAGCAACUCCAUUUUGAUCUGUAGAGAUAAGUUGACAGAGACGAGGGUCUCUAUAUAUAGAAAAAUUACAGUCGAAAGUAAAGACUACACGCUCAACUAGUUGAGAUGUCUCUAUAAAUAGAAAAAUUGCAUUUGAAUGUAAAAUUAAAGACUGAAUAAGUGGAGAAAUUUCGAUACUAAGACUGUUUAUUUAUGAAAAAUAAUUUAUGCUUGAAAACUUUUUCAUGAUAAAAUUAUAAAUUUUUUUUUUAAUUGUUUAAUUUUACUUUGAGAAAAUAUAUUAACAAAUUUAUAUUUAAAAAAUCUAAUAAAAUUAAUAUUAACAAGUUUAUCAUUAGUUUAAAAUUAAUUGUUUCAUAUUAAAUAGUACCCAAUAUUUCUUUUUAUCAAUAUUAAUUUGUGCAAUAUUUGUCUCCUAAAAUUUGGAAUUCAUGGAUAUUAUUUAUUUUCCUAAUUGAAAUCUAAAUUUAAAAUUGAUUUAUAAAAAUUUAAUUUUAGAAUCUCAAUUUCAUAAAUUAUCCUAAUUAAUGUCUAUUAAUAUCCAGAUUUAUUGUUUAAUCAAUUAUAUGUGCAAAUAUAAAUAAUUACGACUAAUGAUAUAUACUAAUCAUUUGGACGAAAUUUUAUAAUUAUUUUUUAGUUUUUUAUAGUUUUUUUAGUUUCUUGUAAUUUUUUAAUUACUAAAAUAAAAAAGAAAACAAUUAUUUUAGUCUAUUUUUCUCUUACAAUUGUCUCCCUUUCUUAUCAUUCAUGGUCAAAUUAAUUAUGAUUAUUCACUAAUACAAUUAUUUUAUUUUAAUUAAUUUUUUUAUUUCGUAAAUUUGUAAUAAUUUAUUUAUAAAUUUUAUGUUUCUUUUUUAUCCAUUAUCAUUAAUAUAAAAACUUUUUGAUUUAAUCAUUGGAAAUUGGUAUCAACAAAAGUAACUUAAGUUCAUUCAACUUAAGGCCUCAAUUAUUUUUUAUUAAUAAAAUAUUUAAAUAUUUUAAUAAAUAAAAAAUUUAAAAUAUUUUUCAUAAAAUUAAAAUUGGAUUCAAUGGACUAAAUUUCGCCAAUAAUGCAAUUGACAUGACGCGGACAUAACUCCACAUGAAUUCAAGCUUUCAAACCUUAUUUAUUUUCGAAAAUAAUUUAUAUUUUUUUAUUAAAAAGAAAAAUUAUUUUUUAAAAUUAAAUUAAUUUUAUUAAUUAAGAAAAUAUUUUCUAUUAAUUAAAAUUUUUAAAUACUUUAAAUAUUAAAAAUAAUAAUAAAAUUAAUAUGAUGUGCUCACUAAACUGUAGCUCCUUUUUUUCUUUGACAAUGGCAUUCAUAGCAUUUAAAUGCUGUAAAGCCUACGUCAUAUUGAAGAGGUUCGAAUUUCAAUUAUCAAAAUUAAAUAUGAUGUGCUCACUAAACUGCGAAGUUGUUGACAUCUCUAAUACUUACAUAAAUGGAGUAGUUUAAUAAUUUUUGAGUUAUUAAUGUCAAUUUUAUUCUUUGUAAAAAUUUAAUAUUUAAAUUUUAAUCUCUUUCUACCCAUCCAAGCAAAUAUCCUCAAUAAUUUAAUUUAAAAUAGAAUAUAAUUCAAACUUUCAGAUAUUAAUAAGUAAUUAUUAUUUAAAAAAUUAUAAUAAAAAAACUGAAAUUUCUUUAGUCAUUUUCCCAGGCGAAACUACCAGUAAUUAUUAUUUUUUGACUUCAUGAAAAAUCAAUAGUUAUUCUUAUCUUAAUAGAGGGAAGUUAUUUACCUCAAUUUAAUUAAAUUAUUUUUUGAGAAGUGAUUUUUUAUAAAGUAAAAUAUUUGAAUUAAACAAGACCUUAAUAAAAUAUAUAAAUAUUAAUAUUGCUUACAGUUUGGUAAUUAAUAUAAAUCAUAAAAUAAACAUAAAAAAUACUAUAUAUAUAAUAUUAGAAUUAUAGAUCUUUAUAUUCAAACAUUAAGAAUAUGAUUUGAUAAUUUAAAAUUCUUUAUAAUUUUUUCUAUAUUUGUUUAAAAUAAAAUAUACCAUCAUUAAAUGGAGAAAAAAAAAUAUUAAUAUGAAGUAUAAAUACCAUCAUUUUUCUCAUAAUUUUGUCUUUUUUCAUAAUUUUUAGAUUUUCUUAAUAGUAAACUAAAGAUACAUUAUCAGAAAAUCUCUUUAUAUAUAUACACCAUUAUGAUUUAUUAUUUUCGCACUAAUGAAGAAAAAUACUUCGUCAUAUAUAUAUAUAUAUAUAUAUAUGAUUUAUUAUUUUGGUAUCAAUCAGUAAAUCAAAGAUUUUGUGUUUCUAAAAAAAAUCUGCAAAAUUUACUUGAUUUAAAGCACAAUUUACUUGAUUUAAAGUGACUUUCUGGUCAAUCGUAACAAUCCAACUUAAUCCAAAAUAUUACCUCACGUUAUUUAAUAAUUUUUACUAAUUAUUUAUAUAAUUUUUUUAAAAUUUUUUAAUUUAGACUAUAACACUUAUUCUGUAUUUGAAAAUUUUUAAGUUUUUCAUUUAAUAUAAUAAUAUUUAGACUUAAUUUCUUUUUUAUUGUGCAAGGUAAUAAUUUCUUUGUCAUGCUAAAUUUUUUUAUGAAUUAAAUAUUAAUAAAAUUUCCUUUAUUAAAAAAUACUAAUUUAUGAACUCAGUUUUUGACGAAAAUAAUAGCAAAAGCUCAUCUUUUACUAAAAUCAAGCACAAGGACAAUAAACAUACAUUAUUUAAAAGAAGAUAACUACAAAUUCUUCUUACAUAGUGGUUGCAUAUCAAGGAAAUUAUUGCUUAAAUCAAAUAUAUAUUAAAAUUUAAAAAAAUUAAAAAAAAUUAAAAAAAAUAAAGAGAGAAAGAGAAUAUUACUUGAUUAUUAAUUUAUUUAUAUAAUAAAAAAAUAAUUAUUUUAUAAAGUAAAAAUUAUAGCAAAAUAUAAAAUAAAUAAUAUUUCUCUUAAAUAGAUUGAGAUGUAAAGCGAGUAUAUGGAAUCAAAUAUAAAUGUCAUGGUAGAAUUUGUAUUAUUAAUUUAACUUUAAAAUUUUAUUAUAGACAAAUGAUUUGAAAAAAGAUAUUUGAAAUUUCCUUAAAAUAAUACAGUAUGCUAUAUGCUAUAGUUUUAAUGUUAUAUUUUUUUAUUAUUAAUUAAACUACCGAUAUAAAGAAUAUAGUAAAGUAUUUAAAUUUAAUUAUAUAUAAAAAAAAUCUAUAUUAUAUGAUGCUAAUUGAUUAAGAUAAUUUAGCAAUUGCUCGAAAUAAUUUACUCAGAUGCUAAAAAAAAUAUGUAUAUUUUAUUUAAGUUUUCUUAAUGGAUUAAAUAUAUUUUAUUUCUUUUUACAUAAUUUAGAGAUAAUUUAGCAACUUUUCAAAUUUUUUACCUUUUNNNNNNNNNNNNNNNNNNNNNNNNNNNNNNNNNNNNNNNNNNNNNNNNNNNNNNNNNNNNNNNNNNNNNNNNNNNNNNNNNNNNNNNNNNNNNNNNNNNNNNNNNNNNNNNNNNNNNNNNNNNNNNNNNNNNNNNNNNNNNNNNNNNNNNNNNNNNNNNNNNNNNNNNNNNNNNNNNNNNNNNNNNNNNNNNNNNNNNNNNNNNNNNNNNNNNNNNNNNNNNNNNNNNNNNNNNNNNNNNNNNNNNNNNNNNNNUAUUAAUUAUAUAAUUUAAUUAAUUAUAUAUUAAAUUUAUACAAAUAUAAAAAUAAUGUUAUUAAAUUUAUACAAAUAAUUAAUAUUAAUAAAUUAAAUAAAUAAAAUAAAAUUUAAUAAUUAAUUAAAUAAAAAUAAACUUUUAAAAUGCAGAAUUCCACAUUUUAAAUUAGGAAAGUAUAUUACGGCACUUUUUAAAGUGCAGUAGUGUAAUCUUUUUUAAAAUUAUUUUUUAUUACCGCACUCUAAGACUCUAUCACACUUUUAAAGUGUGGUAGAGUCGGCUUUUAUCUUAAUUUGAGACUAAAUUGAAUUGUUCGUAAUCUAUUUGAGACUAAAUUUGAUAAAAAUUCGAUUCGUUUAAACUCGUUUACUAAACGAGUUAAGUUUGAACUUAUUAAAACUCGGUUUAAGUUUAAAAUGAGUAAAAUUUAAAUUCUGUUCGAAUUUGAGGAAAUUUUAAUGAAUCAAGUUUAAACUCUUUAAAACUCGAUUCGGUUAGCUCAUUUAUAUCCUUAAAAAUUAUGGCUAUUUAUUAAAAAUGUGAUAUUAGAAGUACUAUUUUGAUGUAAAUCAAAUUAAGGAAAAAAAAUAAUAAAUUCAUAAAAUAUUUUUAUUUUUUCUCCUGAAAAUUAAAUGAGACUCGAAUAUUUUGUAUUUUAAAUUUUUGGUAAACUAAAUUUACGUCAAAAUUGUUCAUUUGUGAAUAGUGAUGAUAUAUUUUUACGUAGUAACGAAUCUUUGAGGAUAAUGUUGAUUUUCCUUUUAGGAAAAAAAAGACAAAGUCAGCAUCGUGCAUGGAGAUCUCAAUGAAUUGUUUACAUAUGAAUAUUUAAUUAAACAAAGUUAUACAUAUUGCUUGAAAUUGUAUAAAAAUGAAUUUUUUUUUAAAUUGAGAAUUAAAAAUUAGGAAAGUAAAAUCUGAAAUCUCUCGGAUUUACUCAGAUAUACUCAUCAUCGGACUAAAUCUAUGAGUGCGUAUAAAAAUGAACUUAAAAUUAUCAUAUUAAAAAUUGCAUUUUAUAUUUUAGUAACAAAAAAUUUUUACUACUAAUUCUAUUAUUUUUAUUAUACUACUAUUAUUUCCCCAAUAAUGGAGAAACAAGCUCCAUGAUAGUUACACCCAUGACCUACCAUAUCAAACAUGUAUCUUGCUAUUUCUAGCUUAAAUCAUAAGCUUAAGGAUUCUUUUGGAUACUUAAUUAAAUGAUUAUUUUUUAAUUAAAAUGAGAAAAAAGAAAAAAAAGAAAAACUAAGCAUUUUCUAAAUUUUUUUUUAUUUUUUAUUUGUUAAUCUUAAUAAAGUUUGUUAAAUUAGUUAUACAAUUUAAUUAAUUUAAAAUUUAAAUUUAAUAAUUUUCUAAACAUUUUUAUUAAAAAUUUAUAUAAUAUAUUUAUAAAUAUAUAAAUCAUACCUAUAAAUAUUAGUUUACUCGUACAUCAUUGUAUCAUAUCGAAUAGGGACAGAACUUAGAGGCGUAAACAAAUCAAGUCGAGUCAAGGCUUGAGAAGUUCAAGUUUCGCUUAUUAAAAUUUUUCUAAACUCAAACUGAAUUCAAGUAUUACUCAUUUUGAAUUCGAAGCGAAUAUUAAUUAAUAAGCUUAAACUUGGUUCAUUUAGUAAAUGAAUUUAGACGAACCGAAUUUUUAUUGAGUUUAAAUUUGAAUAGAUCAUGAACAGUUUAAUUUAUUUAUAAAUAUAAUAAAUUUUAAUUUAAAAUUAAUAAAUGCAAAAUUAAAUAAUUUUUAUUAACUCGUAAAUUUAUAAAAAAAAUAAGCUAUUAAAUUUUAACAAUCCGAAUAUCUAUAAAUUCUAACCGUGUAAUCAAAUUAUAAUCAAAUUAUGUAAAGCUAAAUUUUAGAAAACUUAACAGAAUUUGAUAUUUUAACCAUUCAGGUUUUCCUUUUGUUUUUUUAAUAAGGUAUAAACAGGACAAUGACAUCGUGAUUCAGACUGCUUUCCAUAGUAUGAUCUAUGGUUUCAAUGCAAUGCUUGUACUCCUUAAUGACACCAAAACCUUGUUUGUGUGAAUAGCAUGUUUGAAGAGAGAGCAUAUCUUUUUCAAUUCAAAAGUCAUAAAUGAAACGACAUCUAUAGAAAUCAUGAUAUCAAAUAGCUAAGUGCAAAGUUACAACAAACAUAAUAAUUAAACUGUUCUGGAUAUCUUACUUCAAUUAUGGAAGAAUCGUUCUUUUAAAGUUGAUCUCACCUUUGAUCACAUCAAAGCUGUGCUUAUGGUAAUUUCCACAUUUAUAUAUUCAAGAUUUCUUUAUUUUUUUUUAUAAUUACACAUAUUAUUUUAUUUUUGUUCGCAUCAAAAGUGCUUCUAAGAGAUUUGCUCAAUUCAUAAGUACCCAAAGGAGAAAUUAUUGCUUUGGUUUCUUUAUAUGAUGUCAUGCAUUAAUAGUGAUUUUUUUUUUUGGUCCUUUGCUCUAUACAGAACGUAUUUGUGGGUGGAACAGACACCGGUGCAGCAACUGUGGUUUGGGCCAUGACCUUACUGAUGAAGAAUCCCAUAACAAUGAAGAAAGCUCAAGAAGAAAUUAGAAAACUUGUUGGGAAGAAAGGUUUUGUAGAAGAAGAUGAUGUUCAACAACUACCUUAUCUCAAAGCUGUGAUCAAAGAAACAAUGAGAUUGCAACCCACAGUUCCCUUAUUAGUCCCAAGGGAAUCAACUGAAGACUGUGUGUUAGAUGGAUAUGACAUACCAGCAAAAACUGUAGUUUAUGUGAAUGCAUGGGCAAUUGGAAGAGAUCCUGAAAUCUGGAAAAACCCAGAAGAGCUUAAUCCUGAGAGACUCAUCAAUAGCUCUAUUGACUUGAAAGGCCAAGAUUUUGAGCUGACACCAUUUGGAGCUGGUAGAAGAAUUUGUCCUGGGAUUUUUAUGGGUCUGGCAACUGUGGAGGUAUCUCUAGCUAAUCUGCUUUACAAAUUUGAUUGGGAGAUGCCUGUUGGAAUGAAGAAGGAAGACUUGGACAUGGUUGUGCAACCUGGUAUUACUAUGCACAAGAAAAAUGCUCUUUGUCUUAUGGCCAGGAAGUAUCUCUGAUGAAAGGGC
rnacentral:lncRNA from 1 species